GACGAACGCUGGCGGCGUGCUUAACACAUGCAAGUCGAACGGAAAGGCCCUGCUUUUGUGGGGUGCUCGAGUGGCGAACGGGUGAGUAACACGUGAGUAACCUGCCCUUGACUUUGGGUUAACUUAAGGAAACUGGGGCUAAUACCGGAAAGGACCUCUUCCUGAAUGGUGGGGGUUGGAAAGUUUCGGCGGUUGGGGAUGGACUCGCGGCUUAUCAGCUUGUUGGUGGGGUAGUGGCUUACCAAGGCUUUGACGGGUAGCCGGCCUGAGAGGGUGACCGGCCACAUUGGGACUGAGAUACGGCCCAGACUCCUACGGGAGGCAGCAGUGGGGAAUAUUGCACAAUGGGCGGAAGCCUGAUGCAGCAACGCCGCGUGCGGGAUGACGGCCUUCGGGUUGUAAACCGCUUUCGCCUGUGACGAAGCGUGAGUGACGGUAAUGGGUAAAGAAGCACCGGCUAACUACGUG
rnacentral:rRNA from 1 species